GGGGUUGACUGGAUUUGACAGCGGACUGGGAUGGUGAGUAAGCAUGCGGAGCGAUGACUGUGGGCUCCAUAAUCACGUCGGUCAACAAUUUAAUUGGCGAAAACAACUACGCUCUCGCUGCUUAAUCGAAGUAUAGUAGAUUAGCUUCAUUUCCUGCAAGGCAGGAAACGGGACAUCGCUCAGAGCCCUCUCCCUGAGGCUUACUGGUCAAAGCGGUGCAGAAAUAUCGGGGGUAGCAGCGGCAGAGCCUCGAUGCCACUGCGAAAUCUUAGAGGAUAAGGUUGUGAUUGGUGGUUUGGGUCUUGUCACAACACGAAAAACAAAGUCCAAAAUAAGCAUGUAGAAAGCUCACGGUUUCACCGUUUGGACGAGGGUUCGAAUCCCUCCAGCUCCACAA
rnacentral:tmRNA from 1 species